GGUUAGUUAGCUCAGUUGGUAGAGCAACGGACUCUUAAUCCGUGGGUCCAGGGUUCGAGCCCCUGACUGACCA
rfam:Fructobacillus fructosus KCTC 3544 strain DSM 20349 Scaffold7, whole genome shotgun sequence.